rnacentral:lncRNA from 1 species
GAAAAUGUUAAGGCCCUAGAAAAAGUAUUUCUGUAUUUACAUUAUUUACAUGGUUCAACGAGCAGCACAGGUCUGUGAUGGGCUGAAAGGAACAUUUCAAGUCAACUAUAAGCCAUUGUGACAAUGACCUCAUGCCCUUGUUAGAAGGUUUACAAGAGGCAUGGAGUGACACUGCCUGGACCUUUCCAGAAAAAGAGCAAUGGCCAUGUGUCUUCUACUCAAUUUAUGUUUCUGUAUAGGUUUUCUGAGCAUUUAUUAGAGGACUAACCUAACUGAAAACCCAAUCUUAUGGCUCAUUGUUCUUACAAAAUGCAGCCUGCAAAUUUGAGCAGACUAAUAUUCGUUUUCACAACAAUAAAAAUAGAACUAUACAGAUCCUUUGUAAGUAUAUAUCCAUACGUUUUUUAAUGAUUGUAUUUGCGCUGUGUCUGGCCACAUUUGAACUUUCAAAACAGACUUUGACACAGUGGAGUUUCAUCUUCGGCUACUCAAUACACGAUACAUUCAUCUGGUGUUGUGAGACAGACGAUAGUGUCGCCACGUUUCAGUACACCAGCAUCAGAAAUGAUUGGCAUCACACACUACAUCCCUCAUUUGAAAAGGACAUAGAAAAGAAAAAAAAAACUACACAAUGAAUAUUCAUGGCAGAAUGCAGAUUUAUAUCACCACUGACCGAAAGUAAUGUAACUUAUGCUCUUUUUGCAUGAGCGGAUUUGUGAUUCAUUGGCACAUCAGUCAUCUAUGAAGUCUUUCUGUGUCUUCAUGACCCUCUUUUGGCAAAUUUAUGCUUCAGAGUGAAAAUUCAGAAGUGGGCGUCCAUUACUAGUGCAGCUGGGUCCAUUAAAACAAGAGUUUUGGUCAAGUGCAGAUUUCUAAAACGUUACGCCCUGAUCAGUAAACUGCUGGGAAUAAUGCUGCGCUCCAUUCAAAGGAAAAUGUGGGACCUAUUUAAUUUCAACCAUGUUUUGUGAUCUGAUUCUCAAUGACAUAAAGAACCUAAUGGCUCUGCUGGUGUAUGAUGAUCCGGAGAAGAUCAUUUAGUGUUUUACACCUGGCUGUCACUGCACACCGAACAGGUUUCAUCAGUGUAUAAAUGUAGGAAAAUUGUCUCAUUGAUGCAGUGAAUGUUUAUUGUUAACUGGGUAUUAAUCAAGCAGGGUUCCCAAACUUUUUGACAAAUUUUUCUGUGCAAUUUCCAUGACAUGUCCAUUAGCUUUCCAGUAAUUUAUGACGACUAAUUUAAUUGUUACUUUUUAAAAAUUUUUAGAUUUGUAACAUUUUUAGAGAUUUUAUAGAAUUUGAUGAAGUAUUUUCUAUCCUAAGAAAUACUUAUACAUUUUAUUUUAAUUUAUUAUUUAGUUUUUUUUUAGGUUUUCCAGUACCAUGGGUUCCCUGUUUUAGUUAAAGUAUGGGGUCAGUAAGAUUAGUUUUUUUUUCUUUCAUUUUUUAAAAUUCUUUUUAUUAUUAUUUUUUAAGAAAUUAAUACUUUUACUCAGCAA